CACCGCGGUUAUACGAGAGGCCCAAGUUGACAGUCUUCGGCGUAAAGCGUGGUUAAAGAUAAACUAAACUAAGGCUAAACUUCCCCAAAGCUGUCAUACGCACCCGGGAGCAUGAGACCCAACCACGAAAGUGGCCUUAACACCCCCCCCCCCUUGACCCCACGAAAGCUAUGAGA
rnacentral:rRNA from 1 species